CAGAGUUUGAUCCUGGCUCAGAUUGAACGCUGGCGGCAGGCCUAACACAUGCAAGUCGAGCGGAUGAAGGGAGCUUGCUCCUGGAUUCAGCGGCGGACGGGUGAGUAAUGCCUAGGAAUCUGCCUGGUAGUGGGGGAUAACGUCCGGAAACGGGCGCUAAUACCGCAUACGUCCUGAGGGAGAAAGUGGGGGAUCUUCGGACCUCACGCUAUCAGAUGAGCCUAGGUCGGAUUAGCUAGUUGGUGGGGUAAAGGCCUACCAAGGCGACGAUCCGUAACUGGUCUGAGAGGAUGAUCAGUCACACUGGAACUGAGACACGGUCCAGACUCCUACGGGAGGCAGCAGUGGGGAAUAUUGGACAAUGGGCGAAAGCCUGAUCCUGCCAUGCCGCGUGUGUGAAGAAGGUCUUCGGAUUGUAAAGCACUUUAAGUUGGGAGGAAGGGCAGUAAGUUAAUACCUUACUGUUUUGACGUUACCAACAGAAUAA
rnacentral:rRNA from 1 species